rfam:Pan troglodytes isolate Yerkes chimp pedigree #C0471 (Clint) chromosome 5, whole genome shotgun sequence.
GCCGGGUGUGGUGGUGUGCACCUGUAAUCCCAGUUACUUGGGAGGCUGAGUCAGGAGAAUUGCUUGAGCCCAGGAGGUGGAGUGAGCUGAGAUCACAGCACUGCACUCCAGCCUGAGCGACAGAGCAAGACUCUGUCUCAA